rfam:Camelus ferus unplaced genomic scaffold scaffold475, whole genome shotgun sequence.
GGAGGAUACAGCUCAAGUGGUAGAGUGCAUGUUUUGCACUCAUGAAGUCCUGGGUUCAAUCCCCAGUACCUCCU